UAAAAUCUUGAAUGAUUAGAAUAAAGGUUAAAGAAUAAAACCUAGAUGAGAAUUUGAGGAUUUAUUUAAAAAUUUUCAAGUAAAACCUAUAUGGUUUGCUAUUCGAAUAAGAAUAGAGGAAAUAUGGGUUACAAAAUUCCAAAACCCUAGAAAUGAAUUAAUAUGUACUUGAAGGAAUAUUAAGAAUAAGGUAUUACGAUACCUUUAAAUUCGAUGUGAACGGAAUAGUCUAAAAAAAAAUGUUAUAUAAGUACAUAUGGAAAUUUUAUUAUUGGAGAUAAGAUUUCACAUGAAGAGAUGCUAUGAGGUUAAACGAAGAUGAGUAUAUGUAUAGAAAUAUAUAUACUUAGUAAGGUGCUAUAUAUAUUUUAGCAAGAGGAAU
rnacentral:lncRNA from 1 species